CAGAACCACCCAGAGUCUGAUGUUGGAGUCCAACAGAAGCUCCGGUUCGGCCAUUCUCUCUGGAGGAAGACACAGCAGAGCCAGAUGAUUUAAAGAAACUAAGAAGGGGGCAGCAUGGAAAAAGUAGCAGAUGAUGAGGGAGAAACACCGGAGCAGGAGAAGAUGCUUUUGUGUCACCUGCUGUGUCACCAGCAGUCCCCCGUAAAAGAGGCUCUUCUUCGUCACAAGUGUCUCUCUGACCUCCACAAGGAUGCACCAUGCCCAGCGCCUUCACACUUGUGAACGUCUCCUCAGUUUUCAGCGUGGCUCCGGCUCAGCUUACCACAAUUUGUGUCAGUUGACUAAGCCGUUUUACGUAACAGCUCAGCACCCAAUAACAAAGAGUAAAGAUGGCCUGUUUUUUUUGUUUUUUUUCUUUUUAAAUAUGUAUCCUAAAUGCAUAGACUUGGUGUAUCAAUACACCAACAUCCUGGUAUUUCUUAAUCUUAGAACAUGCCUGUCUGUAACAGCUACUUCACAGUUUGAGGUCUUAUGCAGAACAGAUGUUGUGUCCUUGCUUUUGGCAUUCAUCACCACGCAGCCAUGGAGCUGGUCGAACGACCCAAAAAUCCUGCUGUUGCCUUGCAGUGUUAUGCGUUGUUUCUCUGCUUACGUUUCACCUUGUGAAUUGUAAAACAAUGAAGCUUCUCUAGGUGGAACCCUGUGUGUUCUUCUCUCAUAUUUUUGUCGAAAGGUUAUACACCGACUGCGCAAACUGUUUUUGUUGUUUUCCCAUUUUACAGAUCUACUUUGUUUUGACUGUAUUGAAAGAAACACAAAUAUUCUGAUGCUUUGCUCCAAAUGACCUUUGGUACCUUUUUUUUCUUCAGGAGUACUUGAUAUUCUUCAUUGGCGUAUCAGUAUUAAUUAGGCCAUUAAGCCUGAAAUAACUUUCUGUGCACCUGGGACAAGUGAAGUGAUGCAAAAUAUUUUUUUUUAUUAUUCAGCGUUUCAAAGAGGACUGUAGUGUCUAUUAUUAUUAAAUUACUUGCCGUUAUUCUGUCUG